rnacentral:tRNA from 1 species
GCUGGAAUGGCCGAGUCGUUAAGGCGAGUGAUUUGAAUUGCUCAUCAUCACUUGGUGUUUCACCGCGUAGGUUCAAAUCCUGCUUCCAGCG